UGGCCUUGGGCAGGUAAAGAACCACA
rnacentral:piRNA from 1 species